AAGGAUUUAAGUUAAAAAAACUCUUAACCUUCAAAGUUAAAAAUAGAAAUUUUUCUAAGCCUUA
rnacentral:tRNA from 1 species